rnacentral:misc_RNA from 1 species
GAAAUGCGAUAAGUAAUGUGAAUUGCAGAAUUCAGUGAAUCAUCGAAUCUUUGAACGCACAUUGCGCCCGGCAGCAAUCUGCCGGGCAUGCCUGUCCGAGCGUCAUUUCUGCCCUCGAGCGCGGUUCGGCCCCUAGCGGACCGGCCGCCGCCCGGUGUUGGGGCGCUGCGGGCCCUCGUGCCCGCAGGCCCUGAAAUGAAGUGGCGGUCCCGCCGCGGCGCCCCCUGCGUAGUAGUAAAGCACCUCGCAUCGGGUCCCGGCGGAGGCCAGCCGUCGAACCUCUCUUUUGAUGGUUUGACCUCGGAUCAGGUAGGGUUACCCGCUGAACUUAAGC